rnacentral:ncRNA from 1 species
GCGUUCUCAACGGGGUGCGGAAGACGUGUAAUGCCUAUGCGACACGUCUUGCGCUGAGAAAAUACCCGUCGAACCUGAUCCGGUUAAUACCGGCGAAGGGAUUUGAGAGUGCUCAUCGC